UACGUAGGGGGCGAGCGUUGUCCGAAGUUACUGGGCGUAAAGAGCGCGUAGGCGGGUCUUUAAGUGGGGGGUGAAAGGUUCAGGGCUCAACCCGAACACUGCCUUUCAUACUGGGGACCUUGAGUGCGGGAGAGGCGAGUGGAAUGGUCGGUGUAGCGGUGAAAUGCGUAGAUAUCGAUCGGAACACCCAUGGCGAAGGCAGCUCGCUGGCCUGCAACUGACGCUGAGGCGCGAAAGCGUGGGGAGCAAACAGG
rnacentral:rRNA from 1 species